rnacentral:lncRNA from 1 species
GUUUAAGCGCCCCCUGAGGAGGUGGAGUCCAAAAAGUCCUUGGCCAAUUUCUAACCACUCCCAUGGUCAAUAAUUUUAUAGAUAAAUCAUCACAUCCACCUCAUAAAUUCCUCAUCUCUCAUUUGAGGUAGCUAGCCAACACCAUAAAGAGUGUUUGAUGUUACUGAGGACCCAAUCAAAAGGUAGGUUAUCCCCUUCAAACGUUCUUCUAUUUCGCUCCUUUCAAAUCUCCCAUUUAUAAUAUUACCAAUCUUUGGUAGAUUCGAUGAUGGAAGUUGUGUGAUAAUGCCUAAAACAUUUUGAGACAAAGGCACACUUACUCUCAAAAACAAGAAAACCAAGUCCAAAUCCUAGUAGCAAAAUGGCAAAGUAAAAAUAAAUGGACCCCAAACUCUGCAUCUUCCUUGCAUAUCAAACUGAUAUUUGGUAAAAUUUUCCCUUUUUUUAUCAAGUUAUCAAUGGUGAGGAUCUUAUCCUGGGCAGUCAACCAUAUAAAACUUGAACUUAAUGAUGUACCGGCCACUUCCAAAUUUGGGCUACUUGUGGCAAGGUCCAUCGCCAUCUGUCAUGGAAAAAAAAUCUAUAGCACGAUUUGACCGAAAAAGCUCCCUCGCUUUCAAUCUCCCAUGUGUUCUCAUCUUCCAAAUUAUGUGGGAUAUACACUUUGCGCAAAAUAUCCAGCAAAGAGCUUGAAUGUAGAAUUAGAGCAUCACUAAACUUAUUGUAAAAACAAUUCACACUCCAAAUGACAUGAUUACUUAUUCCUUCAAAAACCUCAGACACCUUCGCAUUUGGGUUGAUCACUCUCUCAAAAAUUUCGGGAAACAUAAGCUUUAGAGAAUAGCUCUCAACCCACAUAAGGUGUCAAAAGGCAAUCUGAUCCCCCCUACCAAUGUUCCAUCUUAAAUUCCUAGCGAUCAGAGGUUGCAUGCAAAGAGCAAUUGAUUUCCAACAAAUGGAUGUGUUAUUCCCUUGGUCAGUCCCUAGCCACAGUUCUGUCUUUCAAUGCCAUAUUUUGCUGCUAGAACUUUGAGAUGCACCUUACUUAUACAAACCUCGCCCCUUUAAUCAAAUGUCUCAGAUCCAAGCAUUGACCUGAACACUAUUCUAUCGUAGAGACAUUUCUUCCAAAAUAUCAAAAUAGAAAAUAUUUCUUCCCGUAUAAAUGCGUCCCCUUCUGCUUAGCUAUAUAUAUAGAAGGUCUUUAUGAUAUUAUCCUCGGCACAUGAUAAUCUUAUUCUGAAUUUUUGCAAAUGGAUCUGAUCUAUAACUAUACCAAUAAUGUUAAACAAAAAUUAUAGGGAUAUAGGACUGGUCUUGGAAGUUAGUUCCAUUCUCUUGCUUUAUCAUUAAUAUUUUAUUAAUUCAUCGAACUUUUUUUGAUAUAGAAUUUGAUCCUAAUUUUUAGGGAAUAUAUAAUCUUUAACAUGGGAGAUUAUUAAUCUGUAAAAUUAAAUAAAUUUUAAAAACUGGAAAAGAUUUUUUUGGAGAAAAUAAUUGAUCUAUUGAUUUUAUUUUUUCUUUGGAGGACUAUUAUUCAUGGGACCUGAUUUUGGUGGACGGUGUAGAUCUCCAGACCUGCAUGGUAACAGUUCAGGCUUGGACGCACCAAACAAUUUUCCUUUCUGUUUUGCUUUUAGUUUUUGGGGUUUUUAGGAGGACUUUGUAAUUUCAUGGGAUGAUAGAGAGAAUGAAGGCUUCCAUGUUGUCCAGGCUCCAACUUUGAUUUAGGUAUGAUUUCAAAGCAGUCACAUGAUUUAUUUAAUCUUAAUCAAACCUUAUAUGACCCAAAACUAAUAACAUCUGAAACAGGGGCAGCAUCCAAAUUUUUGAAUUUUGUUAUAAGAUACCCUAUGAUGUAGUUUCAUCCUGCUUAACCUUAUGGCACAAAGGAGAAGCAUGAAAAGCAUACAAUAAAACUACUUACUUUUGGUACACAUUUUGGCUACUAGAUGUGAAAUUAGAAGGCAAGGCUUUCUAUUAAUUGGGCGCAAAUUUCACAAUUUUUUUUUAAAACUUUGUGAUACACUCCAAGCUGUCGGAUUUUACAUCUAAUUGUUGUAGGUGAUUGUGAGUCUCAAGAUUGGUAACAUUUGAAACCAUAAUAGCGACCAAUUGAAGUUAUCACAGCAAAAUAUCAAGCCUCCCUAAAGGAAAUGAGAAUUAUGGGAAAUUUAGAAAAAUAUUAAUAUCUUAGGGCAUAUUUGGUAUGCAUGAAAAUACUUUCAUGAAUGUAUUUUUUACAUGAAAUAACUCCCUCAUGAUUAAGUAUGUGAAUUGUUUUUACACCAAUUGGCUGCAACGCAUUUUUUCACAUCAAUUGGCAAUCAAUUGAUGUGAAAAAAACUCCCACACCUAAUCACAUGGAGGAGUUUCAUGUGAAAUAUUUCUAUGUAUAACAAAUGUGCCAUUGACAUUUUUGG